rnacentral:pre_miRNA from 1 species
CUUUUUUCCGUGUCUAACGUUUGAUCAUUCGUCUUAUUUGAAAAAUUUAUGCAAAAACCUAAAAAAAUUAGUCACGUAUAAAGUAUUAUUCAUAUUUUAUCAUCUAGUAAUAAUAAAAAUAUUAAUCGCAAAAAAAUUUCAAAUAAAACGAAUGGCCAAACGUUAGAAAAAAAACG